rnacentral:tRNA from 1 species
UAGGCAAACCGGCCAUCGGUCUUCGGAACCGAGGGUUGCAGGUUCAAGUCCUGC